rnacentral:ncRNA from 2 species
AUAAUUGAACAGGGGUGCUCCUAACGAGCUGAGAAUAUACCCUUUGAACCUGAUCUGGAUAAUGCCAGCGCAGGGAGGCGGUUUUCAUGUAUU